CUGGGAAGAGAGGGACAAGCUGUAGAGGACCAACCUGGGAAGAGAGGGACAAGCUGUAGAGGACCAACCUGGGAAGAGAGGGACAAGCUGUAGAGGACAUGCAUGUACAUAGAACAAUAUCCUCUUUCAAGAAUCAUCAAUGGAAAGAAGAAGCCAACAGUCACUUCAUUCAGUUGACCUUCAAGUCAACAUGGAUUCACACAAUAUAGCCACUCCUAUUUGUCAUAUCUUUAAUCUGAGUCUGGAGGGAAAAUAAUUGUCCUUAGAACUGGAGGGAAACCAAAGUAAUUCCGGUACCCAAGAAUGGAAAAGCACCCUUUACUGGUUCUAAUAGCUGACCAAUCAGCUUGCUGCCGACUCUUAGCAAACUUAAUUUAAAAAAAAUUGUGAUUGACCAGAAACAAUGCUAUUUCUCUGUAAACAAAUCAACAGCAGACUUUCAGCAUGCUUAUAGAGAAGGGCACGCAACAUGUACAGUACUGCACUGACACAAAUGACUGAUGAUUGGUUGAAAGAAAAGGAAAAAAAAUAUGUAUAACAAGAAAAUUGUGGGAGCUGUAUUGUUAGAUUUCAGUGCAGCCUUUGAUAUUAUUGACCAUGUCUUGUUAUUGAAAAAACGUAGGUGGCAGAGGCUUUUCAACCAUAUCGUGGAUUCAGAGUGAUCAAUCUAAUAGAACACAAAGGCUUUUCUUUAAUGGAAGCUUCUCUAAUGUCAAACAUGUAAAGUGUGGUGUACCGCAGGGCAGCUCUCUAGGCCCUCUACUCUUUUUACAUCAACAGAUGUCAGAAAGUGCUAUACAGAAACCCAGACUAAAUGACUGACCACGAGUCUUAAGUAAAGCAUGUGUGUCUAUGUGUGCUGAUGAUUCAACACUAUACAUGUCAGCAACCACGGCUAAUGAAAUCACUGCAACACUUAACAAAGAGUUGCAGUCAGUUUUAGAAUGGGUGGCCAGUAAUACAUUAGUCCUGAGUAUCUCUACAACUAAAAGCAUUGUAUUUGAUACAAAUUAUUCCCUAAGUUCAAAACCUCAGCUGAGUCUUAUAAUGAAUCAAUUGGCUGUUGAGCAAGAUGAGGAGACUAAAUUACUUGGAUUGUAAACUGUCAUGGUCAAAACCUAUUCAUUCAAUGGUUGUAAAGACGGGGAGAGGUCUGUCCUUGAUUUAAACCUAGAUUCAGUCAGAUCAAUCGUUAACCAACGAUAGCAGACACAUGCAUAGCGGCUGUUAUGGCGGUAUCUGAGGUGGAACUGCGUUGGAGCCGUCAAAUCGGUGAGCAGUUGCACAUGUGAUCAUUGUCAUGAAGCAACACCCGCUUCACUAGAAGCCACACCCUCCCCACUAGAAGCCACACCCUCCUCACUCGAAGCCACACCCUCCUCACUUGCGUUAGAAGUUCAGAAUGUGUUGGCUACAUAGAAAUAAUUACGCAUUAAACAAAAUAAUAAGGAUUUCUAUUAUCAAGGUGUAGAUUACAUAUCACAUUGCAGUGUUCCCACUUGUUAACAAAUGGGAUUUCGGUUAAUGCAACUCCAUGCAGCCAAUGGCAAUAUCCACUUUCGUUAUAAUGCCGGGAGCCACUUGUGGAUUUAACAGCUCAGUUCCACCUCGGACACCAUCAAAAUAACAGUUAUGAAGAUGUUGAGUAGAGCCCAAAGAGGUGUUGACCAAAUUGUUUGCGUAGUCAACUUACACACAGCUCUGACACACACACUUAUCACACCAGACAUGCCACCAGGGGUCUUUUCACAGUCCCCAAAUCCCCAAUGAAUUCAAGAAAACGUACAGUAUUAUAUAGAGCCAUGAUUGGAAAUGGAAAUCCCUUUCAUCUCAGAUUGCUUAAGUGAACAGCAAACCUGGCUUUAAGAAACACAAUGCCUCUCCCCUAUUUAACCUAAAUAUGCGUAUGUACUGAUAGAUGCUACUGAAUUUAUAUGUAAUAUAUGAAAAUGUAAAUGAUAAAUGCAGGACUAGAAUAAUUGGUCUCUCUGUGUUUUUUCCUCAGUAUUGAGUCAGUACAGAACAUUUUACUUAUACUUUACUUGUUUUAAAUGUAUGUAGUUCUGUCCUUGAGCUGUUCUUGUCUAUUAAUGUUGAUUGGCUGAUUCUACAGUAUGUUGUCAAUGAUUGGCUGAUUCUACAGUAUGUUGUCAAUGAUUGGCUGAUUCUACAGUAUGUUGUCAAUGAUUGGCUGAUUCUACAGUAUGUUGUUAAUGAUUGGCUGAUUCUACAGUAUGUUGUUAAUGAUUGGUUGAUUCUACAGUAUGUUGUUAAUGAUUGGCUGAUUCUACAGUGCAGAAAUAAGUGUUUUGCAGAAAUACAGUCAGUGUUUAUUUAGUGUUUAGUGUUUUAAUGUAAGUUAUUUUGUGUGUUGCUGUCCAUUGACUGAUUGGGGAUAUCAGGCUAUGUUGUUAUUUUUAUAUGAAUAAAUGAAUAACUAAUUGUAAUCCA
ensembl:lncRNA